rnacentral:rRNA from 1 species
UACGUAGGGGGCAAGCGUUGUCCGGAAUCAUUGGGCGUAAAGCGCGUGUAGGCGGCUUUGUAAGUUAGAGGUGAAAGCCCGGAGCUCAACUCCGGAACUGCCUUUAAAACUGCAUCGCUUGAAUCCAGGAGAGGUGAGUGGAAUUCCGAGUGUAGAGGUGAAAUUCGUAGAUAUUCGGAAGAACACCAGUGGCGAAGGCGGCUCACUGGACUGGUAUUGACGCUGAGGUGCGAAAGCGUGGGGAGCAAACAGG